rnacentral:tRNA from 1 species
GGCAAGAUGGCCGAGCGGUCUAUGGCGGUAGAUUCAAGAGAAUGUCUCUUGUCUCUUUAAAAGAGAAUCCUACUCCCGAAGGGGGCCGGGGUUCGAAUCCCCGUCUUGUCA